UACGUAGGGGGCGAGCGUUGUCCGGAGUUACUGGGCGUAAAGGGCAUGCAGGCGGUCGGACGCGUUUUCGGGUGACAGCGGGUAGCUUAACUACCCGAGUGGUCGAAAGACGGUUUGACUUGAGGACGCGAGAGGGACACGGAAUUCCGGGUGGAGUGGUGAAAUGCGUAGAGAUCCGGAGGAACACCGAAGGCGAAGGCAGUGUCCUGGCGCGUAACUGACGCUGAGGUGCGAAAGCCAGGGGAGCGAACGGG
rnacentral:rRNA from 1 species